UACGAGAGGCGCAAACGUUAUUCGGAUUUACUGGGCUUAAAGAGUUCGUAGGCGGCGCAGAAAGUAGGGUGUGAAAGCCCUCGGCUCAACCGAGGAAUUGCGCUCUAAACUACUGUGCUUGAGGGACCUAGAGGUGAGCGGAACUGAUGGUGGAGCGGUGAAAUGCGUUGAUAUCAUCAGGAACACCGGAGGCGAAGGCGGCUCACUGGGGGUCUUCUGGCGCUGAGGAACGAAAGCCAGGGGAGCGAACGGG
rnacentral:rRNA from 1 species